CCGCUUCGUCCACAGACUCCGAUGGCGGCGGCGGCGCUGAGGGACCCGCCUCAGGGUAUGAAAUUUGAGGAUGUGGCCAUUGACUUCUCCCAGGAGGAGUGGGGGCUCCUUGAUGAGGCUCAGAGACUCCUGUACUGCAAUGUGAUGCUGGAAAACUUUGCACUUGUAGCAUCCCUGGGUUGUUGCCAUGGAACAGAAGAUGAGGAGGCCCCUUCUGAGCAGAGUAUAUCUAUAGAAGGAGAGUCACAGGUUAGGGCUUCUAAGGCAGGUCCAUCUACCCAGAAGACCCACCCCUGUGAGAUGUGUGUCCCCAUCUUAAAAGAUAUUUUGCAGCAAGCUGAGCACCAAACAGUAUACCCUUUGCAGAAACCAGACUUGGGUGGCACAUAUGUGAGAUGCUUCUGUUUCAUUGCAAAUCUUCGCCAGCAACAGAAGCAUGACAGUGGAGAGAAGCCCUGGAAAAGAGAUGUGGACAGGGCCUCGCUUGUGAGGAGCUGCAACUUCUUUGUGCCAGGGAAGCCUUUCACCUGUGGGGUGGUUGGGGAGGACUUCCCAGCCACCUUGGGCCUUCUCCAGCACCAGGCCACACCCAACAGUGAGGAACUACAGAGUGGCAGCAAGAGUGGACAAGCCUUUCACAGUGAAAAAAGUCAUUACAAGUGGGGUGAAUGUGAAAAAGUUGCCAGCCACAGCCACACACUUGUUCAAGAUAAAAGUGUCCACUCUAAAGAAGGGCUUUAUGAGUGUAACAAAUGUAAGAAAGGCUUCAACUGCAACUACAGAGUUGUUCAGCACCAGCAAAUUCACACUGGACAAAGGCCAUAUGAGUGUGGUGAAUGUGGGAAAUUCUUUAGCCAUAAAUUUAGUCUUAGAAAACACCAGAAAAUUCACACUGGAGAAAGGACUUAUGAAUGCAGUGAAUGUGGAAAAGUCUUCAGUCACAAAUCCAAACUCAUUCACCACCAGAGACAACACACUGGAGGAAUGCAUUUUGAGUGUGGUGAGUGUGGGAAAUUCUUUAGCUACAAAUCCAACCUCAUUGAACACCAGAGAGUUCACACUAAAGAAAGACCUUAUGAGUGCAGUGAAUGUGGGAAGUCCUUUAGACAAAGUUCUAGCCUUUUCCGACACCAGAGAGUUCACACUGGAGAAAGGCCUUAUGAGUGCAGUGAAUGUGGGAAAGCCUUUAGACAAAUUUUUAAUCUCAUUCGACAUGGUAGAGUUCACACUGGAGAAAUGCCUUAUGAGUGUAGCGAAUGUGGGAAAUCUUUUAGCUGCAAAUCUGAACUCGUUCAACACCAGAGAAUUCACAGUGGAGAAAGGCCUUAUGUGUGCAGUGAAUGUGGGAAGUCCUUUAGACAGUUCUCUAACCUCAUUCGACACCGGAGUGUUCAUACUGGAGAAAGACCAUACGAGUGCAGUGUUUGUGGAAAAUCCUUUAGUCGCAAAUUUAUCCUCAUUCAACAUCAGAGAGUUCACACUGGAGAAAGACCUUACGAGUGCACUGAAUGUGGAAAAUCUUUUACCCGCAAAUCUGACCUCAUUCAACACCAGAGAAUUCAUACUGGCACAAGACCUUAUGAGUGCAUUGAAUGUGGGAAAUCCUUUAGACAACGCUCUGGGCUUAUUCAACACCGGAGAAUUCAUUCUGGAGAAAAGCCUUAUGAAUGUGGGGAAUGUGGUAAAUCCUUUAGCCAAAGUGCUAGCCUCAUUCAACAUCAGAGAGUUCACACUGGGGAAAAACCAUAUGAGUGUAAUGAGUGUGGGAAAUCCUUUAGCCAAAGUUCUAGCCUCAUUCAACAUCAGAGAAGGCACACUGGUGAGAGGCCUUAUGAGUGCAGUGAAUGUGGGAAACUCUUUACUCAUAAAUCUGACCUCAUUCAACACCAGAGAGUUCACACGGGAGAAAGACCUUAUGAAUGUAGUGAAUGUGCGAAAUCCUUUAGCCGCAAACCUAACCUCCUCAGACACUGGAGAGUUCAUGCUGGAGAAAAGCCUUAAAUAGAAAAAUGCUACAUGUGCAGCGAAUGUGGGAAAUCUUUUAGCAAAAGCUACAGCCUCAAUGACCAUUGGAGAGUUCAUACUGGGGAAAAGCCUUAUGAGUGUGGGGAAUGUGGGAAAACCUUUAGGCAAAGCUCUAGCCUCAUUCAACACCAGAGAGUUCACACUGGAGCGAGGCCUCAUGAGUGUGACGAAUGUGGAAAAUUAUUUAGCAACAAAUCCAACCUCAUUAAACAUCGGAGAAUUCAUACUGGGGAAAGGCCAUAUGAGUGUAGUGAAUGUGGGAAAUCCUUUAGUGAAAGCUCUGCACUCCUUCAACACCGGAGUGUUCACACUGGAGAAAGGCCUUAUGAGUGCAGUGAGUGUGGGAAAUUCUUUACCUACCACUCCAGUCUUAUAAAACACCAGAGAGUUCACUCUGGAUCAAGGCCCUAUGAGUGCAGUGAAUGCGGAAAAUCCUUUACUCAAAACUCUAGCCUAAUUGAACACCGUAGAGUUCAUAGUGGAGAAAGGCCUUAUAAGUGCAGCGAAUGUGGGAAAUCUUUUAGCCAAAGCUCUGCACUUCUGCAACAUCGGAGAGUUCACACUGGAGAAAGGCCUUAUGAGUGCAGCGAAUGUGGGAAAUUCUUUACUUACAGCUCCAGUCUCUUGAAACACCAGAGAGUUCACACUGGAUCAAGACCUUAUGAGUGUAGUGAAUGUGGGAAAUCCUUUACUCAAAACUCCAGCCUCAUUAAACACAGGAGAAUUCACACUGGAGAAAAGCCUUAUGAGUGCAGCGAAUGUGGGAAAUCUUUUAGCCAUAACUCCAGCCUCAUUAAACACCGAAGAGUUCACACUGGAGAAAGGCCCUAUGAGUGCAGGGAUUGUAGCAAAUCCUUUGCUUCCAACUCCAAUACACUUGCAAGGCACCAGAGAAUCCACACUGGAGAAAGGCCUUAUGAGUGCAGCCAAUGUGGGAAAUUCUUUAGCCAAAGCUGUGACCUUUUUAAACAUCAGACGGUACACACUGGAGAAAGACCUUUUGAGUGCAGUGAGUGUGGGAAGUUCUUUAGACAAGUCUCUGGUCUUGUUGAACACAGGCGAGUUCACACAGGUGAAAGGCUCUAUCAGUGCAGUAACUGUGGAAAAUUCUUUAGCAGCAAGUCUAACCUCAUUCGACACCAGGAGGUUCACACAGGAGCAAAGCCUUUUGUGUGCAGUGAGUGUGGGAAAGAGUUCAACCGCAGACACACACUGGUUCUGCACCAGAGGACUCACACUGGAGAAAGGCCUUAUGAGUGCAGGGAGUGUGGGAAGUCCUUCAGUCAAAGCUCCCACCUUAACGUACACUGGCGAAUUCAUAGCAGUGAUUACGAAUGCAGCAGAUGUGGGAAAGCCUUUAGCUGCAUCUCCAAACUCUUUCAGCACCAGAAAGUUCACUCUGGAGAAAAGCCUUACGAGUGCAGCAGAUGUGGGAAAGCCUUCACCCAAAGGCCAAACCUUAUUCGGCACUGGAAGGUUCACACUGGAGAAAGGUCCUCUGAGUGUAGGGAGCAUGGGAAGGACUUCAACCACAGACACACACUUGUUCUCCACCAGAGGACUCACGCUGGAGAAAGGCCGUGAGAGUACAGUGAGUGUGGAAAGCCUUUUAGUCAGCGCUCCCAACUUACUGUACACUUGAGAGUACCUAGCAGUGCUUGUGAGUGCAGCAGACGUGGGAAAGCCUUCACCCAAAGGCCAAACCUUAUUUGGCACAGGAAGUCCAUGCCGGACAAAGGCUUUAGAGUACAGGGAAUGUGCUGUCUCCUUGUUCAACCUAACAACUGUCCCCAGAGUGAAGCCCUGAACGUGGGUUUUGUGAGAGAGCCAUCAGUCAGAAGUGAAACCUCAUACAUAUGA